UGAUCAUGGCUCAGGAUGAACGCUAGCUACAGGCUUAACACAUGCAAGUCGAGGGGCAGCAUGGUCUUAGCUUGCUAAGGCUGAUGGCGACCGGCGCACGGGUGAGUAACACGUAUCCAACCUGCCGUCUACUCUUGGCCAGCCUUCUGAAAGGAAGAUUAAUCCAGGAUGGGAUCAUGAGUUCACAUGUCCGCAUGAUUAAAGGUAUUUUCCGGUAGACGAUGGGUG
rnacentral:rRNA from 1 species